AGUGAACGCUGGCGGUAGGCCUAACACAUGCAAGUCGAACGGCAGCACAGGAGAGCUUGCUCUCUGGGUGGCGAGUGGUGGACGGGCGAGGAAUACAUCGGAAUCUACUCUGUCGUGGGGGAUAACGUAGGGAAACUUACGCUAAUACCGCAUACGACCUACGGGUGAAAGCAGGGGACCUUCGGGCCUUGCGCGAUUGAAUGAGCCGAUGUCGGAUGAGCUAGUUGGCGGGGUAAAGGCCCACCAAGGCGACGAUCCGUAGCUGGUCUGAGAGGAUGAUCAGCCACACUGGAACUGCGACACGGUCCAGACUCCUACGGGAGGCAGCAGUGGGGAAUAUUGGACAAUGGGCGCAAGCCUGAUCCAGCCAUACCGCGUGGGUGAAGAAGGCCUUCGGGUUGUAAAGCCCUUUUGUUGGGAAAGAAAUCCAGCUGGCUAAUACCCGGUUGGGAUGACGGUACCCACAGAAUAAGCACCGGCUAACUUCGUGCCAGCCGCCGCGGUAA
rnacentral:rRNA from 1 species